rnacentral:rRNA from 1 species
UACAGGGGGUGCAAACGUUGCUCGGAAUUAUUGGGCGUAAAGCGCGCGUAGGCGGCCACUUAAGUCGGAUGUGAAAGCCCUUGGCUCAACUGAGGAAGUGCACCCGAAACUGAAUGGCUUGAGUACUAAAGAGGGUCGCGGAAUUCCCGGUGUAGAGGUGAAAUUCGUAGAUAUCGGGAGGAACACCGGUGGCGAAGGCGGCGACCUGGGUAGAUACUGACGCUGAGGCGCGAAAGCGUGGGGAGCAAACAGGAUUAGAUACCCCCGUAGUCC